GCGCGAUGAUUUUCGGUGAUUAUCCGGCGGAGUACAACCCGAAGAUCCACGGACCUUACGAUCCUGUCCGUUACUACGGCAAG
rnacentral:lncRNA from 1 species